rnacentral:rRNA from 1 species
UAAGGAAUAUUGGUCAAUGGACGCAAGUCUGAACCAGCCAUGCCGCGUGAAGGAUGAAGGUCCUCUGGAUUGUAAACUUCUUUUAUCUGGGACGAAAACGGGAUUUUUAUCUCAAUUGACGGUACCAGAGGAAUAAGCACCGGCUAACUCCGUGCCAGCAGCCGCGGUAAUACGGAGGGUGCGAGCGUUAUCCGGAUUUACUGGGUUUAAAGGGUGCGUAGGUGGGCUUACAAGUCAGUGGUGAAAUCUCCGAGCUUAACUUGGAAACUGCCGUUGAUACUAUAGGUCUUGAAUUAUCUGGAGGUAAGCGGAAUAUGUCAUGUAGCGGUGAAAUGCUUAGAUAUGACAUAGAACACCAAUUGCGAAGGCAGCUUACUACAUAUAAAUUGACGCUGAGGCACGAAAGCGUGGGGAUCUAACA